rnacentral:rRNA from 1 species
CCGUUAACGACGCUCAUGCUCGAAGGCGCGGGUAUCAAACAGGAUUAGAUACCCUGGUAGUCCGCGCGGUAAACGAUGAGUGCUCGGGAUUUGGGCAUUAGCCUGAGUCCCCCAGCGAAAGCGUUAAGCACUCCACCUGGGGAGUACGCCGGCAACGGUGAAACUCAAAGGAAUUGACGGGGGCCCGCGCAAGCGGAGGAACAUGUGGUUUAAUUCGAUGAUACGCGAGGAACCUUACCCGGGCUUGAAAUGUGCAUGACGACCCCGAGAGACCGGGGUCUCCUUCGGGCAUGCAUGUAGGUGCUGCAUGGUUGUCGUCAGCUCGUGCCGUGAGGUGUCGGCUCAAGUGCCAUAACGAGCGCAACCCCUUCCGCCGGUUACCAUCGGGUUAUGCCGGGGACUCCGGCGGCACUGCCGCCGCAAGGCGUGAGGAAGGCGGGGAUGACGUCAAAUCAGCACGGCCCUCACGUCCGGGGCCACACACGUGUUACAAUGGGGGGCACAGCGAGCGGGAUGAUGGCGACAUCAUUCGAAUCAAUAAAUCCCCUCCCAGUUCGGACUGGAGUCUGCAACCCGACUCCACGAAGCCGGAUUCGCUAG